rnacentral:lncRNA from 1 species
UUACCAUUUCUCACCACUCUCUUUCUGUUUCUAACUUCUUUACAUUACUAUUUCUUUCUUUCUUUCUUUGCUCUGCAACCCCCUUCCUUUCCACCUUGAAAAUAACCUCCUUUUGCUUUAUUUGAAUCUUUAAUUUACCACAAUUCGGAUUGUAUUUGAAGCAUUUGAUUCACAAAUCUAGUUAGGAGCCCCCAAUUUCAAACCCCUUUAACCUUCUUCUAUCUCAUUUUAAACAAGUCAGGUUUUCUUAAUGUCUAGUCCCUUAGAGAAUUUUAUUCCACCGGAGCAUAAUCAUCUUUGAUGAUUAUUACCUUAUGGGUCAUGUUGAUGACACGGUAAUUCUUCUUUGAUUUAUGAUCCAGAUAAAUUCAAUAAAGAAAACCGGAUAAACUUUCGGGGGAUACCUCUAACUCUAACACUAAACUCACUAGAGGUAGCUUAAGGCGAAGUGGUUAUGAACGAAAAAGAAAAAAAGGUUUAGGCGAAGAGAUUGAUUAUUGAAACAUGUUGUAAGAAGAAGCUAAAUGUCAAUAAAGAAAAUAGUACAAAAGUAGUCUAUUUUCCGUUGUUGAUAUUUAGUUUUUUUUUCUCUACAACUUGGGUCCUGCUAUCUAAUCUUUCAACUUAAACCUUUUUUCUUUCUCGACCAUCUCUAAUGAAGGUCCUUCAGGUGAUCUUUAGUGUUACAGUUUGAGGUAUCCCCACCACCAGUUUUGUUCCAUUCUUGUUGAAUUUAUCUGAGUUGUAAUUUGGAGCAAAACUAUCAAAUCAACACCAUCAAUAUUCGUCGAUAUUGUUCUCCGGUUGAGACAUGAUUUUCAAGGGUUCAACACUUGCAAUACCUGACUUUUAUAUCAAAAUGAGUUGUUGGGAAUUGAAAACAUCAGGUGAAAAUUGUGAGGCUUAACUGGGUUUGUGAAUUAGAUGCAUCAAGUCCUGUUCCGGUAUCUUAAUUCUUGGUAUGUUUAGGGUCUAUAUUGUUAAAUUUUAUGUGAACAAGAUUAUCAUCUUUUUUUUGCUAUUGAUUUUUGUUUGAAUAUGUUUUUUUACAUCUUAUAAACGUUUUAUAUGGCAUCCCAUAAAACGUGAAUGUUACAUACGUUAUUCAUGUUAUUUAAUGUAUAAAGAAAUUAUAAAAUUUUCUUGUAUUUGUUAUUUCUGAAAUCCAUGUAAGAAAAAGAAAAGUGGUUUACACUUAUAAACAAAUAAUUGUAACAUAGGCAUAACAAGUUGUGGUUCGGUAAAUGUUAUGGAUUUAAUCUAUUAUAUUGACAUUGUUACAUCACUUCUUAACAACAUGAGUUCAAUGUUAUAA